rnacentral:rRNA from 1 species
UACGAAGGGUGCAAACGUUGCUCGGAAUCAUUGGGCGUAAAGCGCACGUAGGCGGCUUCGCAAGUCGGAUGUGAAAUCCCGUGGCUCACCAUGGACGUGCAUUCGAAACUGCGAGCUUGAGUAUGGAAGAGGGUCGCGGAAUUCCCGGUGUAGAGGUGAAAUUCGUAGAUAUCGGGAGGAACACCAGUGGCGAAGGCGGCGACCUGGGCCAAUACUGACGCUGAGGUGGCGAAAGCGUGGGGAGCAAACAGGG